CUGUAAACGAUGUCGAUUUGGAGUUUGUUGCCUAGAGUGAUGGGCUCCGAAGCUAACGCGAUAAAUCGACCGCCUGGGGAGUACGGCCGCAAGGUUAAAACUCAAAUGAAUUGACGGGGGCCCGCACAAGCGGUGGAGCAUGUGGUUUAAUUCGAUGCAACGCGAAGAACCUUACCUGGUCUUGACAUCCAUAGAAUUCUGCAGAGAUGUGGGAGUGCCUUCGGGAACUAUGAGACAGGUGCUGCAUGGCUGUCGUCAGCUCGUGUUGUGAAAUGUUGGGUUAAGUCCCGCAACGAGCGCAACCCUUAUUCUUUGUUGCCAGCGAUUUGGUCGGGAACUCAAAGGAGACUGCCGUUGAUAAAGCGGAGGAAGGUGGGGACGACGUCAAGUCAUCAUGGCCCUUACGACCAGGGCUACACACGUGCUACAAUGGCGUAUACAAAGGGAAGCGAAGGUGCGAGCUGGAGCGGAUCUCAUAAAGUACGUCUAAGUUCGGAUUGGAGUCUGCAACUCGACUCCAUGAAGUCGGAAUCGCUAGUAAUCGUAGAUCAGAAUGCUACGGUGAAUACGUUCCCGGGCCUUGUACACACUGCCCGUCACACCAUGGGAGCGGGUUGCACCAGAAGUAGAUAGCUUAACCGCGAGGGGGGCGUUUACCACGGUGUGAUUCAUGACUGGGGUGAAGUCGUAACAAGGUAACCA
rnacentral:rRNA from 1 species